ACAUGCAUGUAAAAUACCGUUGGAUCUAUGAAUAAACGUCUGAGGUUUGUCCAUGUCAGUUUAUGUUAAAAUUGUACUCAAGAAUCACCAUGAGUGGAAAUUUUACUCACAGUUCAAAUCCGUGAGUACAAUUUUAACUUAAGGUAACGUCUGAGAUUUGUCCAUGCUUCUAUUCUUACAUCCUACGGUAGUUUACAUGUUUGC
rnacentral:pre_miRNA from 1 species